AUACGGAGGAUCCGAGCGUUAUCCGGAUUUAUUGGGUUUAAAGGGAGCGUAGGUGGAUUGUUAAGUCAGUUGUGAAAGUUUGCGGCUCAACCGUAAAAUUGCAGUUGAAACUGGCAGUCUUGAGUACAGUAGAGGUGGGCGGAAUUCGUGGGGUAGCGGUGAAAUGCUUAGAUAUCACGAAGAACUCCGAUUGCGAAGGCAGCUCACUAGACUGUUACUGACACUGAUGCUCGAAAGUGUGGGUAUCAAACAGGAUUAGAUACCCUGGUAGUCCACACAGUAAACGUUGAAUACUCGCUGUUUGCGAUAUACAGUAAGCGGCCUAGCGAAAGCAUUAAGUAUUCCACCUGGGGAGUACGCCGGCAACGGUGAAACUCAAAUGAAUUGACGGGG
rnacentral:rRNA from 1 species